rnacentral:rRNA from 1 species
UGAAUACGAGACGCUACGGCGUCGAAGCAGUCUAUGUCAUACUUCCAAGAAAAGCUUGCACUGUCAUAGACAAAUAAUGCCUGUACCAUAACCGACACAGGUGGGUAGGUAGAGUAUACUAAGGGGCGCGAGAUAACUCUCUCUAAGGAACUCGGCAAAAUGACUCCGUAACUUCGGGAGAAGGAGUGCCUUAUUUAUAAGGUUGCAAUAACAAGAUCCAAGCAACUGUUUAUCAAAAACACAGGUCUCCGCUAAGUCGUAAGACGAUGUAUGGGGGCUGACGCCUGCCCAGUGCCAGAAGGUUAAAGAAGUUGGUUAGCAUUAGCGAAGCUGAUAACUGAAGCCCUGGUGAACGGCGGCCGUAACUAUAACGGUCCUAAGGUAGCGAAAUUCCUUGUCGGGUAAGUUCCGACCCGCACGAAAGGCGUAAUGAUUUGGAUACUGUCUCGGAGAGGGGCUCGGUGAAAUAGACUUGUCUGUGAAGAUGCGGACUACCUGCACCUGGACAGAAAGACCCUAUGAAGCUUUACUGUAACCUGAAAUUGAAAUUGGACUUUAUUUGCGCAGUAUAGGUGGGAGGCGUUGAGAAUAUUCUUGCGGGAAUAUUGGAGCCAUCAGUGAGAUACCACUCUUGUAAUGUUAGAUUUCUAACUUUGAAUCAUUAUCUGGUCAAAGAACAGUUUCAGGCGGGCAGUUUGACUGGGGCGGUCGCCUCCUAAAUGGUAACGGAGGCGCACAAAGGUUUCCUCUGAACGGGUAGAAAUCGUAUCUAGAGUGUAAAGGCAUAAGGAAGCUUGACUGUGAGACCUACAAGUCGAGCAGGGACGAAAGUCGGUCUUAGUGAUCUGACGGUGCUGAGUGGAAAGGCCGUCACUCAACGGAUAAAAGUUACUCUAGGAUAACAGGCUGAUCUCCCCCAAGAGUUCACAUCGACGGGGAGGUUUGGCACCUCGAUGUCGGCUCAUCGCAUCCUGGGGCGGUAGUACGUCCCAAGGGUUGGGCUGUUCGCCCAUGAAAGCGGUACGCGAGCUGGGUUCAGAACGUCGUGAGACAGUUCGGUCCAUAUCCGGUGUAGGCGUUAGAAUAUUGAGAGGAGCCUUCUUUAGUACGAGAGGACCGAGAAGGACAUACCUCUGGUGUACCAGUUAUCGUGCCAACGGUAAACGCUGGGUAGCCAUGUAUGGAGAGGAUAACCGCUGAAAGCAUCUAAGUGGGAAGCCCACCUCGAGAUAAGUAUUCCC